AUACGUAGGUGACAAGCGUUAUCCGGAUUUACUGGGCGUAAAGGGCGUGUAGGCGGUCUUGCAAGUCAGAAGUGAAAUUCCUGAGCUCAACUCGGGCGCUGCUUCUGAAACUGCAGGACUUGAGUGCUGGAGGGGAUAGCGGAAUUCCUAGUGGAGCGGUAAAAUGCGCAGAUAUUAGGAAGAACCCCGGUGGCGAAGGCGGCUAUCUGGACAGUAACUGACGCUGAGGCGCGAAAGCGUGGGGAGCAAACAGGAUUAGAUACUCUGGUAGUCCACGCCGUAAACGAUGAAUACUAGGUGUAGGGGGUAUCGACUCCCUCUGUGCCGCAGUUAACACAAUAAGUAUUCCGCCUGGGGAGUACGGCCGCAAGGUUGAAACUCAAAUGAAUUGGCGGGG
rnacentral:rRNA from 1 species